rnacentral:rRNA from 1 species
GAUCCUGGCUCAGAACGAACGCUGGCGGCAUGCCUAACACAUGCAAGUCGAACGAGACCUUCGGGUCUAGUGGCGCACGGGUGCGUAACGCGUGGGAAUCUGCCCUUGGGUUCGGAAUAACAGUUGGAAACGACUGCUAAUACCGGAUGAUGACUUCGGUCCAAAGAUUUAUCGCCCAAGGAUGAGCCCGCGUAGGAUUAGCUAGUUGGUGAGGUAAAGGCUCACCAAGGCGACGAUCCGUAGCUGGUCUGAGAGGAUGAUCAGCCACACUGGGACUGAGACACGGCCCAGACUCCUACGGGAGGCAGCAGUGGGGAAUAUUGGACAAUGGGCGAAAGCCUGAUCCAGCAAUGCCGCGUGAGUGAUGAAGGCCUUCGGGUUGUAAAGCUCUUUUACCCGGGAUGAUAAUGACAGUACCGGGAGAAUAAGCCCC